rfam:Myotis lucifugus cont2.47294, whole genome shotgun sequence.
UGGAUCGAUGAUGAGCAUGUGUGGCUAUAUGUGAUAUAUACGAUGAAUACUAGUAUGUGUCGAUCUCUAAGGUCCAA